ACACCUUCAGGGAUGAACUGAGUCCCUGAUAUGAAUUUCUCAUCCACUCUUUUCACUUGUCAGCCGUUCUCUUUCUGUGUCUUGCUAAUCAUUUCUGGGUGGAACAUCU